GAGACUUAUCUGGGAUCCCUUGCAGCCAUGCCAUAACAUGUAUAUGGCAUAACAAAAAACAACUUGAAGAAUAUAUUUCUGAGUAUUACAAGUUUGUCAUGAGCUAAGUCAUGUUAUUUGGUUUGUCAUGUUAUUUCUGAAUAUAUUUUUUAGUAUUGGUAUUUUGUGCAGGAAAUCAACUUCUCAAAAAACAUACUCACACAUCAUCUACCCUACAGAUU
rnacentral:lncRNA from 1 species